rnacentral:rRNA from 1 species
GAGUGGCGAACGGGUGAGUAACACGUGGGUAACCUGCCCAUCAGAAGGGGAUAACACUUGGAAACAGGUGCUAAUACCGUAUAACACUAUUUUCCGCAUGGAAGAAAGUUGAAAGGCGCUUUUGCGUCACUGAUGGAUGGACCCGCGGUGCAUUAGCUAGUUGGUGAGGUAACGGCUCACCAAGGCCACGAUGCAUAGCCGACCUGAGAGGGUGAUCGGCCACACUGGGACUGAGACACGGCCCAGACUCCUACGGGAGGCAGCAGUAGGGAAUCUUCGGCAAUGGACGAAAGUCUGACCGAGCAACGCCGCGUGAGUGAAGAAGGUUUUCGGAUCGUAAAACUCUGUUGUUAGAGAAGAACAAGGAUGAGAGUAAAAUGUUCAUCCCUUGACGGUAUCUAACCAGAAAGCCACGGCUAACUACGUGCCAGCAGCCGCGGUAAUACGUAGGUGGCAAGCGUUGUCCGGAUUUAUUGGGCGUAAAGCGAGCGCAGGCGGUUUCUUAAGUCUGAUGUGAAAGCCCCCGGCUCAACCGGGGAGGGUCAUUGGGAACUGGGAGACUUGAGUGCAGAAGAGGAGAGUGGAAUUCCAUAUGUAGCGGUGAAAUGCGUAGAUAUAUGGAGGAACACCAGUGGCGAAGGCGGCUCUCUGGUCUGUAACUGACGCUGAGGCUCGAAAGCGUGGGGAGCGAACAGGAUUAGAUACCCUGGUAGUCCACGCCGUAAACGAUGAGUGCUAAGUGUUGGAGGGUUUCCGCCCUUCAGU